rnacentral:snRNA from 1 species
GGAUGUGAGGGCGAUCUGGCUGCGACAUCUGUCACCCCAUUGAUCGCCAGGGUUGAUUCGGCUGAUCUGGCUGGCUAGGCGCGUGUCCCCUUCCUCCCUCACCGCUCCAUGUGCGUCCCUCCCGAAGCUGCGCGCUCGGUCGAAGAGGACGACCAUCCCCGCUAGAGGAGGACCGGUCCUUCGGUCAAGGGUAUACGAGUAGCUGCGCUCCCCUGCUAGAACCUCCAAACAAGCUCUCAAGGUCCAUUUGUAGGAGAACGUAGGGUAGUCAAGCUUCCAAGACUCCAGACACAUCCAAAUGAGGCGCUGCAUGUGGCAGUCUGCCUUUCUUU